rnacentral:rRNA from 1 species
CAUAAUCUCUGAGGAGAAAAGCAGGGGAUCUUAGGACCUUGUGCUUUUGGAGCGGCCGAUGCCUGAUUAGCUAGUUGGUGGGGUAAAGGCCUACCAAGGCAACGAUCAGUAGUUGGUCUGAGAGGACGACCAGCCACACUGGGACUGAGACACGGCCCAGACUCCUACGGGAGGCAGCAGUGGGGAAUUUUGGACAAUGGGGGCAACCCUGAUCCAGCCAUGCCGCGUGAGUGAAGAAGGCCUUCGGGUUGUAAAGCUCUUUCAGUCGGGAAGAAAAGGUUGCGGUUAAUAACCGUAACUCAU